AUUGAACGCUGGCGGCAGGCCUAACACAUGCAAGUCGAACGGUAACAGGAAGCAGCUUGCUGCUUCGCUGACGAGUGGCGGACGGGUGAGUAAUGUCUGGGAAGCUGCCUGAUGGAGGGGGAUAACUACUGGAAACGGUAGCUAAUACCGCAUAAUGUCGCAAGACCAAAGAGGGGGACCUUCGGGCCUCUUGCCAUCGGAUGUGCCCAGAUGGGAUUAGCUUGUUGGUGGGGUAACGGCUCACCAAGGCGACGAUCCCUAGCUGGUCUGAGAGGAUGACCAGCCACACUGGAACUGAGACACGGUCCAGACUCCUACGGGAGGCAGCAGUGGGGAAUAUUGCACAAUGGGCGCAAGCCUGAUGCAGCCAUGCCGCGUGUAUGAAGAAGGCCUUCGGGUUGUAAAGUACUUUCAGCGGGGAGGAAGGGAGUAAAGUUAAUACCUUUGCUCAUGGACGUUACCCGCAGAAGAAGCACCGGCUAACUCCGU
rnacentral:rRNA from 1 species